ensembl:lncRNA MIR31HG MIR31 host gene
GGGCGGCGAGGGGCGGAGCCGGGGCGGAGCCACGGCGCUGGCGGCCCCGGCGGCGGCGGCAGGUGUGGAUGGGGCGAAGGUGCGGGAACGUCCACUCCCGCGCGCCCCUCUCGGGGACCAGGGCGGCCUCCCAGGAGGAGCUUGGUGAGCAGCUGCGACCUGUGCAUAACUUGGGGCGCCGCCAGGGGCUCGCAGGUUCCACGUCCGGCGCCUGGAGAAGGAAGACGCGCGUCCCCGGCCGCGGCGCCGAAGCCGGCUGGGGGACCGCCUGGUCCCGGGCCAGAGCUGGGAGGCGGUGUUCCGUGAGCCGCCUGGUCUGGGGUGCGGGGGGCGGGAAGCGGCCCCUUCGUGUGCGCUUGGGCGAGGCCGGGCGGCGCUUCUGUCCUCCUACUCGGACCCGCAGGUUUCUGGUCCUCAUACCGUGUGGUUGAGUGAAAUCAAAACUUCCACGAUAGCAAUGCUGAUUGGACAAAGAAUGUGUUGUGGACACAAAACCAAACUCUGGAGGACAGAGGAUUCAUUCCAAGGGUCUGCUUGUAUUCAAUGACUGGUCUACGUGGGGGUGUGAAGUCCCCUUACUCCACCUGUGAAGAGUCUUCCCAGUUUCAGACCACCCUCCCAGCCUCCUGUUAUUGGCUAAGGCCAUUUUGUGACUACACUGCAGGUAGAGACAGAUUCUCUGGAAGUACCUUCUCAAGGCCAGUGUAGAGCUCCCAAUCACCCAGCAGAUUCUCCCUCUCCCACUGCCCGCACCAAGCAGGUCUCCAGGUGUUCCAGCUGCUGAUGAAGUCCAGUGUGGAGUUGGUCCAGGAGGGUCGUGUUCCAGGCAGCAGAGGAGCGCUCUGUGUGGAAGAGGCUGAAGAUCUGCUGCAGCAUCUCAUGGAGGACAGACAGGGCCUGGGCCUGCUGCAACUGGCUGUCAUACACAUCUCCAGGGGAAACCUGAAGUCUCUUCUGUCCUUGAGACACAAGAAAGGGGAGAUCCAUUUCAUUUGGCCCAGAAGCACCAACGUCUUCCUUCCUGUCAGACCAUGGUUCUGAGUCAGGUCACAUCCCAGAGAUCAAAAAGAGCCACAGCUGCACACAACUAGGACCACCACUAGAGAGUGAAGGCAGGCCACUGGGAAAUGAGGGAGCUGCUGGCCUGGUGGAGCUGGGGUCUGAGUGUAAUUUGGAACCUAGGUUCUCUCAAGACAUUCACUAUGCAUGGCUUUUAACAGGAAACAAAUAGUUUUCAUUUUCUGCAUUCCUCUACACUUAUUUCCCUUUUUAUUAUUUUUUUAUUCUUCAUAUGACCUAAGAAGAAACAUCACUCCAUACUAUUAAUUUUGCAAUAGAAGUCUAAUUUUCCUAGUAAACUUUAGAGGUGUCAAUCAAAAUGGAUAUUUAUCAAUUGCAUGAGAAACAUCUUUGUCCUAAAGGCCUAAGCGUAUAUAUGUAUGUAAAUCACACACACACAUGCACGCAUGCACACACUAUUUUUUAAUAUAUAAACAUUGCUUUUUCUGUUCUUGGAAAAGAUUUUGAGCCCUGAUCCUAGGCUCUAUUUUUACCCUCCAUACUUUACAUAGGAAAUCAGACUCCCUCACCUCUAUGGGUGUAUGAAGUUAGGGAUAUACCAGACCAUCUAUGGCAUUCAAACUCUUUAGGACUGGGUUUGUUUGCUGUUUUAUUCACAGCAGAGAUUGAUGGGUAUUGGUGAAUGAACUUCUGUGAAAUUUCUCUUCCUUCUAAAAUGCAUUUAUUGAGGUCCAUGAGGCCGUGGUUCAUGGGGGUCACAAAGUCAGGAUUAAUGCAGACCAUUGCUGUUUUUUUCACCAUUUCUUACUGGUGGACUAAGUGCUCCUCAGGCUGUGUCAAUUCCCUCAGGAAGAAUCCUGGCUGUUUUUCAGGUGCAUAUAGGUGUAGAGAUUCUAAUUCCAAGAUAAUGUUUUCCAACAUCACCUCACUCACAAGGUAGUUAUCACAUCCACUAACACUCUCUCCUAUAGAGUCACAAAGUAGCCUGAAUCCAAAAUCUUCCAGACAGAUUUAUUCCCUGAAAACAGGCUCACCACAUCCUGAUGACUUCAGAAUUCAACCCCUGAGGAAUGUCUUGUUUCUUUGCUGCCAAAAUAAUCUAUCUUCUAAGGCCCUUGCCUUUGUCCCUAGAGUGUUUGUGUGAGGGACCCUAGCCCUCAGUGAUGGCCUCUUCCUCUCCUGAGCCAUGUUCCUAGGUAUCAAAAGUCUCAACAGUCCUCCAAUGCUGAUAGCAAAGGCUUGUUUUGUCUAAGGAGGUAGAGGACUUAUGCAACUGCAAUCAUUUUACCUUCCUUAGUCAAGUAAUUCUUAUUUUGCGAAGUACAGUUUUUAUUGAUGAAGACCUUUACUUAAACCACUGAAAACUUGUUAUGCUUGAAGUUUCUGAGGUGGACACAGGGGAUUCAGUAACAAUAUUUUCUUUUAUUACAACCUAAUUUACAGAAACUAGUGACCUAAAGUUAUUUUAUACAGUCAGCAUGAUUCUAAUGGAGUCUUUUUCUGUGUCUGUCUCACUCUGACAAUGCAGGGCAGUGAGGCUCAGGUUAUUCAGUAAGAAAGAAAUAGCCUUAUUUCCUUACUUGUUUGUGAUUUUUCAUGUUGAAUUUUUGUAACUUCUUCUUCUUCUUCUUUUUUUUUUUUUUUUAGAUGGAGUCUCAGUCACCAGGCUGGAGUGCAGUGGCACAAUCUCAGCUCACUGCAACCUUCACCUCCUGGGUUCAAGCAAUUCCCCUGCCUCAGCCUCUCGAGUAGCUGGGACUACAGGUGCUCACCACCAUGCCUGGCUAAUUUUUUUUAUUUUAGUAGAGUCGGGGUUUCACCAUGUUGGCCAGGCUGGUCUCGAUCUCCUGAUCUCAUGAUCCACCUGCCUCGGCCUCCCAAAGUGCUGAGAUUAUAGGUUUGAGCCACCAUGACUGGCCGAAUUUUUGUAACUUCUUUUCACAUAGUGGUUUACUGGGUAAGGUGUAUCUUGCUUCUCCUACAUGAUAUUCUUAUUUAUGAUGAAUUAAAACAAAUAAAGAAAAGUAAAAGAAAGGCAAAGGAACCAUAUUGUUCUUCUCCAUAAUUUUCAAGAUUUCAGAUUUUUUGUCUCUCAUUUCAACUUUCCUAGAAAGCAAACCUCAACAAUUGCUUAUAUAUUAAAAACAAAACAAAUAUAAGCCUGAAUAUCAGGAAGUAAGAGAAGUGACUUUCUGCUGACAAAAUAGCAAAACAUAUGUUAGCAAAAUUCAGUGCAGCAAAAUUAGAGACUAGGGACUCUGUCCCAGGGGAAGGAUGAAUGUCAUUGUUGAGGUACACAAAAGCAAGGGAAACGGCUGCUUCUGCCAGAGCCUCACAGAAGAGCAACUCCUGGGUCAAUGGAUUGUCCUCAGCUUUGCAAGACCAGCCACCUGCUCUUCUUUCAUUGAAUGCAGAUGUUAUCACCUCUGAGGUAAGAAAGGAGGAGUCACACCAACCAACUCACAGUAGACUGGCAACAAGACCCCAGUUGCUAGAACACUAGUCCUCUCUGGCAUGAUAAUGAAUAUUAGCCUUGCCUUAGCACCGUACCUAGUUAAAAAAUCCACCCAGGAAAUGAAAAGAUGGCAUUUAGAAACCUGCAAAGAAACAGAAUUUGAUUUCCCAAAAGAUUCUGCUCCUAGUUGUGUUAUAACAAUGGUGAUUUUUUUAAAAGAUAACACCAAAAUUAUUGCAUUAUAACUAUAGGCCUGUGACUGUUUUAAGAUCAUUAAAA